AUAUAUAGAUAUAUUGAUGCCCUAGGGAGUAAGAUGUUUGCCAAGUGGUUAGUUGUGCUUUUCAUUGCUGUUCAGUUUCUGAUGAUCCCAACGUCGUCUCUCGCCGAUGCGGCGGAGCAUCAGGGAUCCUCGUACCGGCCGCCUUCCAGAUCUCAUA